rnacentral:rRNA from 1 species
GAUGAACGCUGGCGGCGUGCCUAACACAUGCAAGUCGAACGAGAAGCUAACUUCUGAUUCCUUCGGGAUGAUGAGGUUAGCAGAAAGUGGCGAACGGGUGAGUAACGCGUGAGUAAUCUACCCUGUUAAGUGGGGGAUAACCCUCCGAAAGGAGGGCUAAUACCGCAUAAUAUCUUCUCCUCUAAAAGAGGUAAAGAUUAAAGAUGGCCUCUAUACUAUGCUAUCACUUCAGGAUGAGCCCGCGUCCUAUUAGUUAGUUGGUGGGGUAAUGGCCUACCAAGGCGACAAUGGGUAGCCGGUCUGAGAGGAUGUACGGCCACACUGGGACUGAGAUACGGCCCAGACUCCUACGGGAGGCAGCAGUGGGGAAUAUUGCGCAAUGGGGGAAACCCUGACGCAGCGACGCCGCGUGGAUGAUGAAGGCCCUUGGGUUGUAAAAUCCUGUUCUGGGGGAAGAAAGCUUAAAGGUCCAAUAAACCCUUAAGCCUGACGUACCCCAAGAGAAAGCUCCG